CGCGUAGGCUGCUGAGUAAGUCAAAUGUGAAAUCCCCGGGCUUAACCUGGGAACUGCAUUCGAUACUGCUUAACUAGAGUAUGGUAGAGGGAAGUGGAAUUCCGGGUGUAGCGGUGAAAUGCGUAGAUAUCCGGAGGAACACCAGUGGCGAAGGCGACUUCCUGGGCCAAUACUGACGCUGAGGUGCGAAAGCGUGGGGAGCAAACA
rnacentral:rRNA from 1 species